ACGGCCACAAGAACAAAGCAUGUAAGUCAUUGAAGUGAUUUAUCAAUUCUUGUUGUAUUGUGAAUUUGUGUUGCAACUGACUAUCAAGAUUAUUCUUUAAAACACGAGUAUUAUAAAAAUCCCCAGCAAGUAAAAUUAAGCAAAUAUAGCUGGUUGAAAACCGUACUGCUAUAAAUUUCCUGAGUGACAAAGGUUUUUUUAGAGAUUUUAAUGCCAGUUUAUUCUAUUAGUAAAUUGUGGGGAAAAGCAACUCUUUGGAAUAUAAAGCACUUAUAUCACCAUUAAAGUUUUUUACACCUGUAUGUAUUCGCUUUCAGGUAUGAAUUUAUCAAGAAAAUAUGGGAUAUCUGUACCAGGUGGCAAUAUCUGUACCAGGUGGCUUCCUUGUAAAAGGCAUUGGCACUAUUUCAUUGAACAUUCAAGGAACAAUCGCCUUUUAAAACAAAUAUGCACAUUUGUUCCUCAAAUAUUGAUUCAAUACAUUACCUCGGGCUGACCAAUUCAUUCCAUCAAGAUAUUUGCUGUGUUGGUGUAAUGCAUGUACUCAGGUGAAUAAGAUGCUUG
rnacentral:lncRNA from 1 species